UCCUUGUUUGUGCAACUUGGUGCCGUGUGCGAUUUGACGAUGUCAAGUCGUGUUGUAACGGACAUCGAAUCGUUCACAUUUUUUUUUCGAAGAUCCAUUGCUUAAUACAGCUUGCUUUCCAUCUCCUAAUUAUCAUCCAAGGACGUUGUAGUAUCACCAAUUUGAAAUCAAUAUGCUUAACGAAAACUCGAGUGGCAGCGAUGAGUCGUUUGAAGACUUUUCAGAUAUCCACGUUGAGAAAAUAAUUUCUCGUGGUGCCUUUGGCUCGGUGUAUGUUGGAAAGUACAAAAAUACAACGUUCGCCAUAAAAAUGUUCAAAAGCGAUCAGCAUGCUGAUUACCAAAGAGAGGUGGCAUUUACAAUGCCAUGAAUCUGAGGCACCCCAAUGUAUUGGGUUUUAUUGGAAACGCAACCAUAGAUUAUUGAAUAAAAAAGCAAACGCAGUACAUCAUGGAAAUGCACCACGACAAUCUUUAUCAGCUGGCUAACCAGAAUCCGG